GAUGAACGCUGGCGGCGUGCCUAAUACAUGCAAGUCGAGCGAACAGACGAGGAGCUUGCUCCUCUGACGUUAGCGGCGGACGGGUGAGUAACACGUGGAUAACCUACCUAUAAGACUGGGAUAACUUCGGGAAACCGUAGCUAAUACCGGAUAAUAUAUUGAACCGCAUGGUUCAAUAGUGAAAGACGGUUUUGCUGUCACUUAUAGAUGGAUCCGCGCCGCAUUAGCUAGUUGGUAAGGUAACAGCUUACCAAGGCGACGAUGCGUAGCCGACCUGAGAGGGUGAUCGGCCACACUGGAACUGAGACACGGUCCAGACUCCUACGGGAGGCAGCAGUAGGGAAUCUUCCGCAAUGGGCGAAAGCCUGACGGAGCAACGCCGCGUGAGUGAUGAAGGUCUUCGGAUCGUAAAACUCUGUUAUUAGGGAAGAACAAAUGUGUAAGUAACUAUGCACGUCUUGACGGUACCUAAUCAGAAAGCCACGGCUAACUACGUG
rnacentral:rRNA from 1 species